rnacentral:rRNA from 1 species
CCUACGGGAGGCAGCAGUGGGGAAUCUUGCGCAAUGGGCGAAAGCCUGACGCAGCAACGCCGCGUGCGGGAUGAAGGCCUUCGGGUUGUAAACCGCUUUCAGCAGGGAAGAAAUUGACGGUACCUGCAGAAGAAGCCCCGGCCAACUACGUGCCAGCAGCCGCGGUAACACGUAGGGGGCGAGCGUUGUCCGGAUUUAUUGGGCGUAAAGAGCUCGUAGGCGGUUCGGUAAGUCGGGUGUGAAACCUCCAGGCUCAACCUGGAGACGCCACCUGAAACUGCUGUGACUAGAGUCCGGUAGGGGAGUGUGGAACUCCUGGUGUAGCGGUGAAAUGCGCAGAUAUCAGGAAGAACACCAGCGGCGAAGGCGGCACUCUGGGCCGGUACUGACGCUGAGGAGCGAAAGCGUGGGUAGCAAACAGGAUUAGAUACCCUGGUAGUCCACGCCGUAAACGUUGGGCACUAGGUGUGGGUCUCAACCAACGAGAUCCGUGCCGCAGCUACGCAUAGUGCCCGCCGUGGGAGUACGGCCGCGAGACGUAAACGUACAANAGAGUAGUAACGG